rnacentral:tRNA from 1 species
GCCUGGGUGGCUCAGUCAGUUAAGUGUCUGACUUCAGCUCAGGUCAUGAUCUCACAGUCCGUGAGUUCGAGCCCCACGUCAGGCU